GGAGGAUCCGAGCGUUAUCCGGAUUUAUUGGGUUUAAAGGGAGCGCAGACGGGUCGUUAAGUCAGCUGUGAAAGUUUGGGGCUCAACCUUAAAAUUGCAGUUGAUACUGGCGUCCUUGAGUGCGGUUGAGGUGUGCGGAAUUCGUGGUGUAGCGGUGAAAUGCUUAGAUAUCACGAAGAACUCCGAUUGCGAAGGCAGCACACUAAGCCGUAACUGACAUUCAUGCUCGAAAGUGUGGGUAUCAAACAGGAUUAGAUACCCUGGUAGUCCACACGGUAAACGAUGGAUACUCGCUGUUUGCGAUAUACAGUAAGCGGCCAAGCGAAAGCAUUAAGUAUUCCACCUGGGGAGU
rnacentral:rRNA from 1 species